CCCCUAGAUGUUCUGGGCCGCACGCGCGCUACACUGAACAGUUCAACAAGUCUUAACCUUGGCCGAUAGGCCUGGGUAAUCUUUGAACGUGAAUCGUGAUGGGGAUAGAUGAUUGCAAUUAUUCAUCUUCAACGAGGAAUUCCUAGUAAACGCAAGUCAUCAGCUUGCAUUGAUUACGUCCCUGCCCUUUGUACACACCGCCCGUCGCACCUACCGAUUGAAUGGUCCGGUGAAAUCUCGGGACGGCGGCUUGGUCGCUUGCGUCCGACUGCUGAAACUUGAUUAAACCAUAUCAUUUAGAGGAAGGUGAAGUCGUAACA
rnacentral:rRNA from 1 species